rnacentral:misc_RNA from 1 species
GUCUGCAGCGAAGGGGAGUAGCCCCCAAUCGGAUGAUCGACAUACUGGACCGCCGGCAGUUGGCCGGACGUCCCGGUCAUCUGGACCGACGACAGUCGGUGGACGAGACCUUCGGCCGUAUG